AUUUAUCAGAUAUUCUUGGAAAAAAAACUACCCACGUUCUAUGUGCCCACAUUCUCCACUUUUUACCAAAUCCCAAAAUCUCCAUAACUUCUUCAAAAUUUCUUUAUAAAUAAAAUUAUCGUGACAAAACAUUUAUUCUUAAAAAAAAAUUUGAUCGCCAAUUUUCUUUUUCGAAUAGAGUCAUCAUGAAGUGUCUAGCAUCCCCAAUCCCUUCCAACGAGUCAAGGUCAUCUGUCAAUAUACUUUUCCAUCUUUGUCAUGAUAUUGUAUGAAUCAUGUUUAUAUAUCUAACUCUCUUUUCCUAAUUAUUUUACGCAAGAGUUAGAAAUACGGUUCUGCAUUAUCAACGUCCUUGAUCACAAUAUUGGUUUAAAGCAAUAAAUCUGACCAAAACUUACUGAGAUUCGAGUUAAGUUGGGUAGUUGAACGAGGAACGCAAUAAAAGCUGCAAGUCAUUCCAGUAUCACUGAGUAAAGCAAGCCAAAACUCAAUAAUUACGUUCGUCACAAUAAGACAAGAAGCCACAUGACGAAAGACAAUCUUGAGGUAAACUCUAUCGGUGCAUAGCACCGGGUAUAAUUCUAGUUUAUAAUAAGAUUCAAAAGGGAUAAAAGAUAAACAUAAGCCUUAUUCACUCACAAUAAUACAAGUGUGCCAAAAAUAUAGAGAUUUUAAAAGUCACGGAUUAAAUUCGCAUUGGAAAGAGUUUGCUUUCUGAAAAAAAGAAUUCGAUUACAUGAUCUAGGGAAUGUACGGACUUAUAUGGCUUGAAUCUUCUAAUAAUCAAUAUAUACUAGAUGUUAACCCGCGGUACACCGCGGGCCUAUAAUUUUAUUAAAUA